CCGCAUUUUAACCCCAUCCGUUCCGCAUCCGCUUCCGCGUUUUAACCUAACCCUUAUUCUCGCCCUGGCUGCUCGUCCAAUUUUGGCAAAAUUUCCAAACAUCACUCGUACUAGUAAUCCCUAAUUGUACUCGUCAUCGCAUGAUUACCUAUACUAAUUAUCCUUUUAUUCUCUUUCUUUUACAGCGAAAUUAACUAUGCGAUAACUAAAACGAAGGAAAACUACGAGAACAUGUUGUAUAGAGAAGUCGUUAAGUCUGGUUUCUUCGAGUUUCAAGCAGCUCGAGAUCGUUAUCGGGAAAUGUCGACGGAAGGAAUGCAUCGCGAUCUUGUUUUUAGGUUUAUAGAAGUUCAAGUGUUGUUGUUAGCACCGAUAUGUCCACAUAUUUGUGAGCAUAUCUGGAAACUGAUAGGUCAUG